UACUGCACAAAAAAGAGAAGAGACAGAAUGAGAGAGACUUGGAUAUAGAAUGUCCUUCAAAGUCAUGUGUGGGCAAGGUACUGCAGUGCUGACAUUUCCUGUGGAGGUGAAGAGUUUCAGGCAUGCUGAAAAUAGAACCAUCUUGAGAAAGGGAUCAUGCAGCUGCCUUGUUCUCUGCCAGCCCUUUUCCACAAUUGGUCUUUAAGGUUUCCUGGUACAGUCGCAAUAACUGAGAUACGCUGUGGAGAUUUGGCUUAUCCACUAGCUGCCGCUUUAGUUCUUCAAUCUGUUGCGUGAAGGCCUGUUUCCCUCUGGACAGCUGAGAAAUUAUACCAUCUUUUUCCUCUGCCUGGCGAACACAACUGAAAGCUGAAUAUCCGUGGUAUGUAUGUAGCUCAGAAGUAAAAACAUUGGAUUCUGUCCUGUCUCAGAUGCAACUGCAGUACUUCCAACCUUCUGCCCAGUCCUUCAGCAAGAGAAGCCAUCACUGGGAAAACUGGAGACAUGGUUUCAAGAUCCUAAUCCAGCAGAGAGGAAACAAAUGCACCUUUCACAACAGAGUUCCCUGAGCGUCUGGCAGAUGAAGGAGAAAAGGAACACGGCCACCCAUUUAAUUAGGGCUGAACCACUUUACUGUUCCACAAGGGUUGCAAGCUCAACACUGGCUAAGACACGGAGUGGCUGAAAGGACCAUUAGCUACUGAGUUUAACAGUACCUUCUGUGCCAUCUGGCUCUGCCUGCUCCUCUCGCUGUUUCUGCUUGAAUUUCAAAUUCCCAUAGUGCAUGACAGCCCCUGUGAGCUUGUAGAUGGCAGUCUUUUCAUCAGCACUGAAGCCCAGGAUGUCAAUGGCACUCUAGUAAUAGAUUCAAUAUAGUGAAAUAUUUGUCUGAAUAUGAUAUAUGACCUAUAAAAGAUGACCUGUUUUAUGCGCUACUCACAUCUGUAGCCAUAAGCUCCUCCUUGUCAUCAAUGCUGGGGACAGUGAUCUCACCUUGACUCACAAAAGGGUAGUCGUAUGGGUUGGUGGUGAUAAGGAGCAUUUCUGAAAAUAAAUGGAUGUUCAUGGAUUAAAUUUCAGUAUUUUCAUAAUGUUAUUAAUUGUUGCUCUGUAAUCUUCCUCCAAAUAGCUCAGUGAUGUCUCCUACCUAUUAGCUCUGGCUUCUUGUUGGAUGUGAUCUGAUAAAAGAUGUGGUAGCUUCUUUCUGCCUUGAGCUGGAAAGUAACUCUGGACUUUUCCAGCAGAUCUGCCGAGGAAGGAGAAAAGAGUUAGGUACAAGACAGGACAUGGAGGUGGAAAUUCAGGAAGGAAUUUGAACAGGCCAGGAGCCACUCUUACAAGUUUCAAUGUCAGCAGAAGCCAGUUUGCCUGUGGCCCCAAAAUGGAUUCUGAUGAAUUUACCCUGUUGAGGAAAUGGGAUCAUUUCAGCCUGGAUGGCUUCUUUGGACAGCUCCUUAUUUAAGAAUAUCACUAGCCCCAUCAUUACUUUGUGGGGAGCAAUGACUUACAAAACGUGAGGAGUUGUCAUUCCUCACAGUCUUGGCAUUCCCAAAGGCCUCCAGCAGGGGGUUGGCACUGAUGAUUUGAUCCUCCAGUGUUCCCUACAGGAUAACAAUUAUUCCUGGAUAAUCCUUAUUUUCCAAAAUUCAUGCUAGGAACAGAAUAAACAUUUAUUUCAGCCAGUAUCGCUUAAUGUACCUGCAUUUUGCCAGGCUGGUCUUCCUUCUUCUUCUCCCCGCUAGCUGCAAUUGUUGCAAAGUACUGGAUGACACGUUUCGUGUUCACAGUCUUCCCUGCACCAGAUUCUCCGCUGUCAAACCAAACAGAGAAGCAGAGAGCGUGAGGUCAGGGAGAAGGUCCCCUGGCACAGGGCAGCCCCGCAGGGACCCGAGCUGGGAGCAUACUUACGUGAUCAGAAUUGACUGAUUCUCGCGGUCUGUGAAAGAGAUAGAGAUAAGGAGGCUUUUCCUACUGCUCAUAAAUAACAAGAAACACAAAAUGUGGGAGACAAAUAUGAACUGAAAUCUGCAGGGAGUGCAGGGAUGGGAGACAGUGAAAACCCCUGGGAGUUCCAGUUUUAGCUAUUGUCCUGAGUAGCACUGAGCUGGCUUAAAAUGUAAGUUGGAUCUUCUUCAAAAAGUCCAAGCAUUAAUUCCCCAAAGCAAGUAAUGUAUUUCCUUCCAUGUCCCAACGGUGGUAAGUAUAAGCUCAAAUUGAGGUAUACAGCUGUCAGAGGCCUGUGGUCCUCACACAAACCGUGUACCUUCUUGUCCCUCACACAGUUUUCAUGCAGGAAUCUGAUCAAGCUGCCUACCUCUGUUCAAAGUAAAAUAUUGUAUGGAAUAAUAAUAUGUUGAAUUCAGUCACUGCAAAAAAAGUAAAUUAUGAGUCCAGCAUUAAUUCUGCAGUGAGAGAGUGUAGCAUUAUGUAUGAUAUGCUGCUAGAAAUAAGACACACUGCUGAAUGUAUGCAUGCUUCUAGUACAGUGCUUGAAAUUAGUUCCUCCUUAACUUGAUCAGUUUCUGUCACACAGCUCCAUGAUGAUUGUACUGGCUUUUCAUACACUCCAGUAAGAGCAAUGGGGCUCUUCAGGUUGCUUUGAAGGAGAUCAGGCACUCACCAGUCAGCAUGAACUGAUAGGCGUUGUCAGAGAUAGAGAAGAUGUGUGGAGGAGCCUCCUGGCGCUUUUUGCCUCGGUAGGCCAACACCACCUCCGGGUUGUACACCGGCAGCCACUUGUAGGGGUUGACAGUGACACAGAACAGGCCCGAGUAGGUCUGCAAGGAAGGGACACAGCAUGUUGCAUUCCACUCAGCCUGGCACAACAGUCCUCCCAAGCUACGCUACCCAAGGAAGAGCUGCUGGUACUUACGUAGAUCAUCCAGGCUGCAUAACGCUCUUUGAGGUUGUACAGCACAGCGGGUUCAUGGAGGUGAGUCAUCAUGGCCAUGUCCUCAAUUUUAUCGUACUUGGGAGGGUUCAUGGAGUAGACCUGAUCAUCCUUCACAGUCAGAGUCUGUCAAGGAAUUGAAAGAUCUGUCUGUCAGCCAGAAGCUCAGAGUGGAGAUUAAAUGUUGAUGUGAAACUUGCUUUUUUCUCACCUCUCCACCUUCAGUCUUGACAGUGACCUUCCCUGUUUCCCUGCUCUGGAUUGUCCCUUUCACAAAGGAUUCCUUUGGAUGAGCCACAAAGACUGAUGACUUGGCAUCAAAAGGCUUGUUCUGGGCCUCAAUUCUUUCCUUCUCUGACUUUCGAAGAUAAGGAGCUGCCUCCCCAAAGACGGCCAUUUCAGCAUCUGAAGAAGCCAUGGCUGCUCUUCACUGAAGGCACCUCAGCAGAAUACUCUAACAGGGAGAAGUAACAUGGCACAGCUCAUUUAGAUAUAUUCUAUAACACUGUGAGACUGACUGUGACUUGGUUUUUCUUCAACUUGUACUAUAUGGAAUGUCUAACAUGUCCUAAUGGAAGAUUUGAUUGACUUAGGUUGACUUGGGAAACAAGAGGUCAUAACUGAUGCAGUCUAGGUGUUCAGACUUCUAGAAGAGCAACAUCUGAUCACCUUUCACAACUGUAGGCUUGGGGCUUUAAGAACAUCAUGUCUGCAAGAUGAGUGAAGUUGCUGAGCAAGAUUUAUUUUAAGACAUCAUUACUAGCAGUUGAAAUAAAGGUGGAGCAUUUUGUUUAAAGGCGGAGAAACAUUUCUAAUAACACGUAAUUUAAAGACCUAUAAACUUGAAAAACUUUGAACUUGUGGGGCAUUUACUUAUUAACUGUAAUUGUAACAGGAAGGCAGAGAAAACUAAUGAAUUUUGCUACUGAAGUUGCCAUCAGGAAGAAAAGGGCAGGAUCUGUGACCUUUUAAUACUCUGCUGUAAUUUAAUUUGUUUAUACAUUUGUCAUUCAUGACUACAAUGUCCAAAUACACUCAUCUUCAAAGUUCUGACUUGUAUGAAACAAAAUCCAUGCACUGAAAUUGGAAUUGCCAUGGCUGCACAAAGCUCCCAAAUAAAUACUUUCUGAAAAAAUCCAGGAACAGGGGAGUUCUCAAAACUUUAAUAAAAUAAGAAUGCUUCUUCAGAUGUUUUGCUGCAUCUGCCAUCGGAGGCAGGAAGAUAUAAACACAACCAUUUGAAAGCCUUACCAGCCAUGAGCACCCCACCGCCUGCCUACUGUAAUCACACCAGCUUGGAAUGCAGGGUGAAAAAGGUCUGGACUCUUCUGGGACUAGAAGCAAAGCACAGCGGGUAAAGGAGCAGAGGCAGACAGAAAGCCAUCUCUGGAUACAGACUGUCCUAUGCAUCAGGACUGCGAGGCAAUGCUGAUAUUGUCUGUGGUGGAGAGGGGUUUAGGCAUGUUGAAAAUAGAUCACUCCUGAGAUGGAUAUCGGGCAGCUGCCUCUCUGUCUACUAGCUUUUCAGAUAUAGGUUUUUUUCUCUUGAGUCCUGAGAGACAAAGCAUGAAAAGAUGUUUUUUAGCAGGGUGGCACAACAAGAACGAAGUGAGAAAGUGGAAUAACCUACAGGCUGCCAUAUGUUGGUUAGUGGGAAACUCCCUCUUGUGUGUGUUCAGUGCGGCUGAGUUCAUGAGUUGGAAACGCACCAGUGUACUUGUAUGACAGGAGGUUUUGCAGCAUGGAAAGGAAUCCUUUUACUUUUUACUGGGUCCUAGUGAUCCUCAGCCUUUCCCUCUGAGAACUACUCUCCAGCCCUCUGCUCCUCUGACUAGAACAGAGUGCUGUGCCAGAGGAAAGGAGGGAAAACACGGUUACAAACCUCUGACAUAUUACGGGCUGUAGGCAGCCAUCCUGUGUUCAUCUGGACAAAGAAAUUCUUCAUAUUUUUUCUAAGUCAAAAUGCACAUUAAAUACUUGUCCUCACAAAUUCCACUAUGGCAGAUGUACUGCUGGAAACUGCCUGUUUCCAUUUAUAAUUAGUGCAGUGCUACAAGCUUCAACUGUUCAAAGCUUUUUUUAGCCUUACUAACUUUAACCUUAUUGAGUCACUCUCACUUGUUUCCUCUUUCCCAGCUUCCUGGGUAUUCUCUUUUUCCUUGAAAAACACGCAUUUGGUUGAAAGGAAUUCAAGGAGUCAACUCAAACAAUGACACAAAAUUCAACUUUGUCAAAUUUGUGAAUGACACUAAAUUAGGCAGAUGACAAAUGACAGAGCUUCAUUCCAGAUACAUUAUGAGACAUGAAGACUGGAUCAACACAAAGCUUAUGAAGAUCAGUGUGGACAAGUGGAAAGCUCACACCUGGAAGAAAAGUAGCCUGAGGUGUCAGUAUGAGCUGGGAACUGACCAGUUCAGCAGGUGCUCUGCUAAAAAGGACUUCAGAGUUUUGAUGGGUGCCCAGAGGGAUAACGAGUGCUCUCCCUGCAAACAAGGCAAAGAUACUGGAUGAUGCUCUGAGCAUGUCCAGCUGACUGUCAGAAGCCAUAAUCCCUUUUGUUUGGUAUGAGUGAGUUGUCAUCUGAAAUGGUUUGUCCAAUGUGGGGCUCUCCAGUUCAAACAGGAUAUGAACUAAGAUGAUGAAGAUGGUCGAGGGUCUCGAAAACUAGUCCUGUAAAGAGACUUCUGGGGUUUUUAAUGUGAGGGGAAAAGGACUAAGUUCCAUGAAGGGCAGUUAAAAAUAUAAUGUUCUAAUCUUUUACAAUUAGUUGUAGGCAGUGUAACAAGGGACAGUGAUCAGGAAUCACAACUUGAGAGGCACCAGUUAGUCACUAGGAAAAAUCUUCACAAAUGUCUGUACAGAGGGAGAUCAAAGGAUUGCACAGUGUGUUCCUCCUGAGAUAUUUCUCACCAUCCCAGUAGUGAAGACUUCUAAAGUACAAACCCCCUCAAGCUGGUGAAAGACGUCAUGUGACUAAAGCAAAAACAAGCCACACAUGGGAAACCGUACUGAAAACUAUAAUCUGUGCUACCACCAGUAAUGGCAGACACCUAACCCUGUGUUAUGUGCAUAAGCACUUUCCUGCUACCUCUACGUGAAGCCUAAAAACCCUUUAACCUUCUCAGCUUUCAGAAACUUGUCCAUGUGUCCACCCCACACAGAGUCUGUAAUGCUCGCAGGACAGACAGAGCAGACAUCUCCUUUAACAGGGAUCCCCUUACACUCCUUGUUUUUGAGCCCUGGAAGACUGGAGAGAGCUCAGAGCUGCUCGGCUUCUGCUCAGACUUUGCUUCUCGUGGUUGAUGUCAGCAGAAGUGAUGCCCUCACUCAUCUCAAGCUGAUUCCCAGCUGAACACCGGCAGUACCUGUGCAGCUGCCGUGCUCCUGGUGGCACAGCACAUCCCAGCAGAGCAGGGCAAGCACCCAGGCGCUGCCUUCACACACUGCCAUUCCACUGGCUUAGAGGGGCUGCUCCGGCUUCUGACUGUUACCAUUUCAGCCCAGAAAGGAGCUGUGCCGGACGGAGCAAGACUUUCUGGGAUAAGAAUAGCACCUGCCAUCUUAGGACACAGCACAGUUGUCCAGCUCCUGCACGGCAACACGUUGCAGUGAGAUAUAGAAGGCAAGCUACCCGCUGAGGAAUGUCUUCCAGUGCUAUUCAUGGAGGCGUCUCAUCUACAGCAGCAGGCCCGGCCCCACGCAGGAGCCUUGCAAGAGGGGGUUAUUUUGAGCUUUGGGCCCUGAGGAUGAAGGGAGACAAAUGACAGCGAUCCUCCUGGCACAGGCAACCCCCAGAGCUUUGUGCACAACUGACACAGCCUGUCACCGCUUCUGGGGAAGACUCUUGUGAAGCUGCUGGGCGAUGUGGUGGGACCUGAGAGCCCAGAAGAUGGCGGCCAGGAAGGAACUGAGAAUUCCCUGGGGAAAUGAGGGCAGGCCUCAGGCCCACCUGUCCCAGAGCUCAGGCACUCCACUGCCUGCUUUGUUUUUGGCCACAUCCCUAAAGCAUCGGCACAUAACUUUGUGCAGGUGAAUGCUGUGAUCAGAGGUGAUGCAGUCAGACUUACAACUUGAUAGCUGCUUUAUCUUCAGAGUGUUACCUUCCCUUUCAUUUUGUGCUUUUGGUGUUCUCACUUUUUUAUGUUUUAAUAAAAAAAUAUUUUAAAAAUAA